rnacentral:rRNA from 1 species
UACAGAGGGGGCAAGCGUUGUUCGGAAUUACUGGGCGUAAAGGGCGCGUAGGCGGCCUGCUAAGUCGAACGUGAAAUCCCCGAGCUCAACUCGGGAACUGCGUCCGAUACUGGCAGGCUUGAAUCCGGGAGAGGGAUGCGGAAUUCCAGGUGUAGCGGUGAAAUGCGUAGAUAUCUGGAGGAACACCGGUGGCGAAGGCGGCAUCCUGGACCGGCAUUGACGCUGAGGCGCGAAAGCCAGGGGAGCAAACGGG